rnacentral:rRNA from 1 species
UACGUAGGGUGCGAGCGUUGUCCGGAAUUAUUGGGCGUAAAGGGCUCGUGGGCGGUUUGUCGCGUCGGGAGUGAAAACGCCGUGCUUAACACGGCGCUUGCUUUCGAUACGGGCAGACUAGAGGUAUUCAGGGGAGAACGGAAUUCCUGGUGUAGCGGUGAAAUGCGCAGAUAUCAGGAGGAACACCGGUGGCGAAGGCGGUUCUCUGGGAAUGACCUGACGCUGAGGAGCGAAAGUGUGGGGAGCGAACAGG